AAAUAUGUGUGAAGAAUUGCGAAAAGAAUCAGGAAGGUGGUUGUCGUGACGUCAGAGUGCACAGUAAAGCAGGUCCAGAGCAGAGAUGGUGGGCUCUUCAGGUUUCUUGAUCUCUGGUUUGGGCAGCUUGAUGCGACUCAUUGCAACGACACCACAGACAGCAAAGUGAGUCCCAAUGCUGCCCACACCCAGCCAGAAGGACCAGUCCAGUUUGUCGUCCAGGACAACGAGGACGAAGAGGUUCUCUUGGUAGUUUGCUACCCGCUCAGUCAGACUGUGGUGUCUCAUGGCUGCCAGGAAACACAAAACACCCAGAGCACCAAAAAGAGCUGGAGACAGGAGUGAGGGAGAGGUUAGCAAAGCCAGAAUACAACAACCAAUUACCAAGAAUUAGGAUAAACGUUGAUAUUUGAGGGCAAAGUGAAGAAUCCCCUCACAUACCAGCAAUUAGGUUCCACAGAUAGAGUCCUUUGUGGCCCUUGAUACUCUGGUAGGGAACCCUACGUGCAUUGUAAAUACAGAAAGACAGACUGACGAGAGCAAAGCCAAUGGCCACCAGCAAGAAGAGGAUCACCAUCAUAUGAAGGCCACUGUUCAAUGUCCGCACGAGCUUUGGGAAAACUGAAUAUUCAGAGAAAAACACACAUCAUCAGCCCUGUGAGCAGAUUUGUGUGAGUAAAGAUGAAGAAGGAAAACAUCAGCCGACAGAUUCAUAUUAGUCAUUAAAGCACCCUGAAACAGGACAUUAGCAGAACAGGAGGGUUUGUUGACCUUUCUCUUUUUUGAUCUUUGUUUUGAAAUCUGAUCAUGUGAUUGUAUGUAUGUAUGUUUACAUGGGUGGUUUGUAGCCAUGUGUUUUGUCUUCAAUGUGUUACUUGUGAGAAUCCACAUUGUUAUACUAAUUGUUUUAGUUUGUCAAUUUGUAUGUAGUUUAGCUAUAUUAUAUAUUAAAAAAAUUAUAAGUAUAUAAAAGUAUUAUAACAGAUUAAGUGAGCAUACAAAAACAUUAGCUAUUUUAGUUGUAAUUCUGUUAAUUACAUAGAGUUUUUACUCGUUGAAUAGCUUUAAGGACUGAAAACCUUUGGUACACUAACAUAUACAGUACAAUGACAUUAACGCAAAUAAUGGGGGAACUGCGUGUCUUAUUCAUUAUUUGUAUACUAGGUUUAAAAACGAUGUUUAAUCCAUCAUCAGGUUUGUGUAUAGAAUAAAGUAUUUAAGCUUA